CAUGAGUGGCGGACGGGUGAGUAACGCGUGGGCAACCUGGCCUGUACACGGGGGAUAACACUUAGAAAUAGGUGCUAAUACCGCAUAACGGGGGAAGCCGCAUGGCUUUUCCCUGAAAACUCCGGUGGUACAGGAUGGGCCCGCGUCUGAUUAGCCAGUUGGCAGGGUAACGGCCUACCAAAGCGACGAUCAGUAGCCGGCCUGAGAGGGCGGACGGCCACACUGGGACUGAGACACGGCCCAGACUCCUACGGAAGGCAGCAG
rnacentral:rRNA from 1 species